GACGAACGCUGGCGGCGUGCUUAACACAUGCAAGUCGUACGGUAAGGCCCUUUCGGGGGUACACGAGUGGCGAACGGGUGAGUAACACGUGAGUAACCUGCCCACAACUUUGGGAUAACGCUAGGAAACUGGUGCCAAUACUGGAUAUGUGCUCCUGCUGCAUGGUGGGGGUUGGAAAGCUCCGGCGGUUGUGGAUGGACUCGCGGCCUAUCAGCUUGUUGGUGGGGUAGUGGCCUACCAAGGCGGCGACGGGUAGCCGGCCUGAGAGGGUGACCGGCCACAUUAGGACUGGGAGACGGCCCAGACUCCUACGGGGGGCAGCAGUAGGGAAUAUUGCACAAUGGGCGCAAGCCUGAUGCAGCAACGCCGCGUGCGGGAUGACGUCCUUCGGGUUGUAAACCGCUUUCAGCAGGGACGAAGCUUUUUGUGACGGUACCUGCAGAAGAAGCACCGGCUAACUACGUG
rnacentral:rRNA from 1 species